GGUAUGCAGACAAAAAGUGGUCAGAGAAAAUUCGAAUACAAGUGUGGAAUCCAUAUUUUUUCAAUAAAAUUAUAAGUUGUAUUUUAAUACAAAUAGCUACGAAAUCAGAGGGGCAAUAAGUGCAAAUUGACCCUUUUACUUUCAUUUUACAGAAAUUUUGUGAGCUUAUCGGUUGUUGCAUUAUGAAAAGGGCAUUUGUAUUCAAAUCAAGAGAUGAAUGAAGAAAAUCAAUUAUUUGCAGUUCUGGUGCUAAUUUGUAAUAGGGUAAAACUGAGUGUUUUUUCUCUAACAUUUGCGAAAGUUUUUCUAUACUGGACAUAUUAAGUAGUAACAAUUAAUAAUGCUUUCGUAAAGUGUAGUUUUGAAUAGACAAUCUAUCUGGUAAGGCCUACAACAUUCGAUUUAUGCGCCGGAAUACAACAGGUAGCAGAUAACGUCAUGUACAUCUGAAAUAUCAUUAUUUGCCACAAACGGAAUGGUGAAGAAAAUUCUGUUACGUUAGUUUAUUUGGUGAAUUAAAUUAAUGUGAUAAUAUUUAUGCCUAUAAUUUAUCAUGAAAAAAUGUACUAUGAAAUAGUUCUGCAGGAUUCAUCAAUUUGCGAAUAAUCGAUAUUUUUCACUACAUCAAAACAAUUGCAAUACUCCGUGAAAAUAACAGCGUGUGGGAGUGAGAAAUAUGAGAUAAGAUCUCUUUUGGAGAAGAUCUCCGGAGUAAUAUAAUGUUUUCAUGGCAUUUUCAAGCAAAAAUCUUUACAGUAAGAAAGUGAAUAGAGUUAGAAAAAUUUAGUGUAUUCAGAAGAAUUUGUGAGAAUAAACCAUUUUCUUGAGUGGACCGGAUUAAAAUUGCUUCAACAAUGUUGCCGACAAACGUAAUGUCGUUUAUGAAAAAGAUGGUUGCCCCGGAGGAAGUGCAACAGAAUAAUGUGGAAAGUACAGGCACAUUCGGCAAACUCAAACAAACAUUAUCAUCUUCUCUUCUAACAGCUCAAGACAGAGUGAAUAAGAUGUCUCCAAGACCUUCCUUGAUUCCUGAUACCGACAACAGUGGAGCACCUGAACCUACAAC